UACGUAGGGCGCAAGCGUUGUCCGGAAUUAUUGGGCGUAAAGAGCUCGUAGGUGGUCUGUUACGUCUGCUGUGAAAACCCAGGGCUUAACCCCGGGUCUGCAGUGGAUACGGGCAGGCUAGAGGUAGGUAGGGGAGAAUGGAAUUCCCGGUGUAGCGGUGAAAUGCGCAGAUAUCGGGAGGAACACCGGUGGCGAAGGCGGUUCUCUGGGCCUUACCUGACGCUGAGGAGCGAAAGCGUGGGGAGCGAACAGG
rnacentral:rRNA from 1 species